rnacentral:rRNA from 1 species
UACAGAGGGUGCAAGCGUUGUUCGGAAUUAUUGGGCGUAAAGGGCGCGUAGGCGGUGCGGUAAGUCUGUAGUGAAAUCUCUGGGCUCAACUCAGAGUCUGCUGCAGAAACUGCCGUGCUUGAGUACGGGAGAGGAGAGUGGAAUUCCCAGUGUAGAGGUGAAAUUCGUAGAUAUUGGGAAGAACACCGGUGGCGAAGGCGGCUCUCUGACCGUAACUGACGCUGAGGCGCGAAAGCGUGGGGAGCAAACAGG